rnacentral:rRNA from 1 species
GAGACUCUGUGCGCGUGCAUAUCAAUAAGCGGAGGAAAAGAAACUAACAAGGAUUCCCCUAGUAACGGCGAGUGAAGCGGGAAGAGCUCAAAUUUGAAAUCUUAAAGGUUUCUACCUUGACGAAUUGUAGUUUAAAGAAGUGUUUUCUGUUAGAUGAGUCGCGUAAAAGUUCCUUUGGAAUAGGACAUCAUAGAGGGUGAGAAUCCCGUAUUUGACCGUUACUUUCCAGCUGUGUGAUACACUUUCAAAGAGUCGGAUUGUUUGGGAAUGCAGUCCAAGAUGGGUGGUAAAUUUCAUCUAAAGCUAAAUAUUGGCGAGAGACCGAUAGCGAACAAGUACCGUGAGGGAAAGAUGAAAAGAACUUUGAAAAGAAAGUUAAACAGUACGUGAAAUUGUCAAAAGGGAAGCGUUUGACACCAGUGUUGUUUAGUUGAAAAUCAAUUCAAUAGUUUUUGAUUCUAAGUAGUAUUGACUUCAUCAGCUUGCUGCUUUCUUCUCAGAAAUUAUUGAAUGCACUUUUCAGUUAACAAGUCAACAUCAAUUUCUUUUGUUGUAAAAGGGUAAGAGGAAGGUGGCUUGCGCUUCGGCUCAAGUGUUUAUAGCCUUUUAUCUCUGCAAUCGGAGAGAUUGAGGUCUGCAGCGUAGAUCCUUCGGGGUUAGAUACAUUGGUGCUAAGCUAUAGCCUUGUAUAGACAACUUGUUGACUAUGCUCAGUCAUGUAGCUUACUCGCUGAUGUAUUUUACCUACGCUUAGGAUGUUGACUGAUAUGUAGUCGUA